rnacentral:rRNA from 1 species
GAUGAACGCUGGCGGCGUGCCUAAUACAUGCAAGUCGAGCGAACGGACGAGAAGCUUGCUUCUCUGAUGUUAGCGGCGGACGGGUGAGUAACACGUGGAUAACCUACCUAUAAGACUGGGAUAACUUCGGGAAACCGGAGCUAAUACCGGAUAAUAUUUUGAACCGCAUGGUUCAAAAGUGAAAGACGGUCUUGCUGUCACUUAUGGAUGGAUCCGCGCUGCAUUAGCUAGUUGGUAAGGUAACGGCUUACCAAGGCAACGAUGCAUAGCCGACCUGAGAGGAUGAUCGGCCACACUGGAACUGAGACACGGUCCAGACUCCUACGGGAGGCAGCAGUAGGGAAUCUUCCGCAAUGGGCGAAAGCCUGACGGAGCAACGCCGCGUGAGUGAUGAAGGUCUUCGGAUCGUAAAACUCUGUUAUUAGGGAAGAACAUAUGUGUAAGUAACUGUGCACAUCUUGACGGUACCUAAUCAGAAAGCCACGGCUAACUACGUG